UCCAGCAGUUGACAAGAACGUCUGAGGAACAGUGAGGGGUGGGGUGGAGAAAUAACAUGGGGAAAUAGUUUUACUUUGUGUAAUGACCCAUCCACUCCCAGUCUCAAGGCUUGAAUUUAGAUAGUUUUAUCUAAAGAGUUCGGUUUAAAUUUUGGUUGCUCAGCAUCUCUGAAAUUAGGCUCUAGAUGUCUGAAGAGUGGCACCUAAAAUUAGAGGCCACUUUCAGAAAAUUGACUCUUAACUUCACUGGGCCAAAUCUUCAGCUCAUGUAAAUUUUCAUAGUUCUACUGCAGUCAGUGGAGCUAUGCCAAAUACACCAGAUGAGAAUCUGCCCCUGUGACUCUCAGGUCCCAAAUGUAAAAUGAGAUAAUACCUGGUUACAAUAAGCACCAUUAAAUGGUAAAUAUUUACCACGUUUAUGGUAUAAAUGCUUCUCUGCAGUAUUUGUUUUAACUUAGACGAUACAUAGUCAAUGCUGCAGUAACUGAUUAUUGUUAAUGGUGUGUGUUUUAUUUACCUCACAGAAGGGGAUGAGGAUUAACAGUAGUUAAUGUUAGUACAGUGCUUUGAAGACGUUAAGUGCUAUGUACUGCUAUUUGUCCAGUAACAUAACAUAUAUAGAAUAAGAAGUCCAAAGAAAAUCUAAAGUGUACAUAAUGUUUACAUGAUUAAAUUAAAAUGAAUGUUAAACCAUAUUUUCUUAUUGUAUGUGAAAAUACGUAAAUUAGCAAAGAUCAGUUUCACCUCUCAGCUCUCACAAAGAGGUGGUGAUAAUAUGAACAUUUGGCUGACAUGUAUUUGGGUAUCAAUGGGUGAUUGCAUGGUAGUGCCUGCUGCUUUUUGUUAAGCUUGAGUUCAGCUUCCAUUGUAGUCCUUCCUUUUCAGUUGCUCUUAUCUUUCUCAGGCAGGUUUCUUUUUUGCACUUUGUUUGAGGCCAGAUACUUUAGAACAAAAGAAGUGGAGCUGUUUAGCUACAUGAGGAUGAAAACCCCCAGCAUGAUAUCGUAAGUUAUAAUCAGAACUUCUAUAUUCAGGUAAUGAUCGAAGCUAGAAAUUUCAUACUUGGUUGUUUUGUAAAUCUUAUUAAAACUUAAAAUUCGGUAAUGGAAUGCAUAAACUAACUGCUCUGGUACAGAUAUCAGGGAUAGAAGCCCCUGGCGCUUAUGAGCUUCAGAUGAGUUGUCUUUAGUCUUUGGGGAUUAUGAUGAAAAAAAUCCAGAUAGAUAUUCAUGUUAAAUACAUGCAAACAUGGUUAUACUCCACUGCUGAAUAUCCUAGGAUUCCAAUUCCCUAUAAAUGUACUUGGAGUUCUGGUAAACUUACAUAGAAGAUUGAAGUCUGAUCCUGCAUACACUCACAAAUGCUAGUGACAUUACUCACAAGUAGCACUAUAAAAUACUACAUAAUUUUUAAAAUAAGCAGCUUAUGACUGGCAUAAAACUACCUCUCUCUUCAAAGUGUCAGCUCUCACACCAUUGCAAACACUGUUGUAUGAUAAACUUACUGCUAAGAUUUUGGAGAACUUCAGUAUACAUUUAAUUUUUAAAUAACGCUAGUCCUUAAUCAGCAAAACAUUUAGGCAUAUGCUUAAGUGCUUUGCUGAACAGGGAUAGACUGCUGAAUUGAGGCCUCAAAGAUUUAUUGAGUUGUGGCAUGGAGCUCAGUUAUUCAUGAUGAACACAAACUAAAGGUCUGAUUCCACAAACACUUACACGCAUAAUAAUCUCAUACACACAUCAUACAGCAAGUUCCUUACUCUAAUCAUUCAUCAUGAGACAACUAUUUAUUUAUUUUUCUAUGUAAAUGGGUACAUUUAGCAACAAGUUAAAAUACAGUAGCAUGUAACAUGGAAAAUAUAGU